GAAUUGUAGCAGCAUGCAAAGCAAGGCU
rnacentral:piRNA from 1 species